UACGUAGGGUCCGAGCGUUGUCCGGAAUUACUGGGCGUAAAGAGCUCGUAGGUGGUUUGUCACGUUGUUCGUGAAAACCCACAGCUCAACUGUGAGCGUGCGGGCGAUACGGGCAGACUAGAGUACUGCAGGGGAGACUGGAAUUCCUGGUGUAGCGGUGGAAUGCGCAGAUAUCAGGAGGAACACCGAUGGCGAAGGCAGCUCGCUGGGACGGUACUGACGCUGAGGCGCGAAAGCGUGGGGAGCAAACAGG
rnacentral:rRNA from 1 species